rnacentral:tRNA from 1 species
GCGUCGGUGGUUCAGUGGUAGAAUACUCGCCUGCCACGCGGGUGGCCCGGGUUCGAUUCUCGGCCGACGCA